UAAACGACUCUCGGCAACGGAUAUCUCGGCUCUCGCAUCGAUGAAGAACGUAGCGAAAUGCAAUACUUGGUGUGAAUUGCAGAAUCCCGUGAACCAUCGAGUCUUUGAACGCAAGUUGCGCCCGAAGCCAUUAGGCCGAGGGCACGCCUGCCUGGGCGUCACAC
rnacentral:rRNA from 1 species